CCCUUAGAUGUUCUGGGCCGCACACGCGCUACACUGAAGGAGGCAGCGUGUACUCCUGGAUCGAAAGAUUUGGGUAACCCGCGAAUCUCCUUCGUGCUAGGGAUUGAGGUUUGCAAUUACCCUUCAUGAACGAGGAAUUCCCAGUAAGUGCAAGUCAUAAGCUUGCGCUGACUACGUCCCUGCCCUUUGUACACACCGCCCGUCGCUACUACCGAUUGAAUGAUUUAGUGAGGACUUCGGACUGGGACCGAUGCGGCUUUCGGGCUGCGUCGGUAUUCUGGAAAGAUGUCCAAACUGUAUCAUUUAGAGGAAGUAAAANUCGUANCA
rnacentral:rRNA from 1 species